GAGGGUAACAGCUCAGUGGUAGCGUGUGUGCUUAGUGUGCAGAAGGUCCUGGGUUCAAUCCCCAGUACCUCCA
rfam:Camelus ferus unplaced genomic scaffold scaffold1057, whole genome shotgun sequence.